rnacentral:rRNA from 1 species
UACGUAGGGUGCGAGCGUUUGUCCGGAAUUAUUGGGCGUAAAGAGCUCGUAGGCGGUUUGUCGCGUCGGCCGUGAAAACUUGGGGCUUAACCCCAAGCCUGCGGUCGAUACGGGCAGACUUGAGUUCGGCAGGGGAGACGUGGAAUUCCUGGUGUAGCGGUGAAAUGCGCAGAUAUCAGGAGGAACACCGGUGGCGAAGGCGGGUCUCUGGGCCAUUACUGACGCUGAGGAGCGAAAGCGUGGGGAGCGAACAGG